rnacentral:rRNA from 1 species
UAGUAACGGCGAGUGAACCGGGAAGAGCUCAAAUUUGAAAUCUGGCGUGCUCAGUGCGUCCGAGUUGUAAUCUAUAGAGUCGUUUUCCGUGCCGGACUGUGUCCAAGUCCCUUGGAACAGGGUAUCAAAGAGGGUGAUAAUCCCGUACUUGACACAAUGACCGGUGCUCUGUGAUACGUCUUCUACGAGUCGAGUUGUUUGGGAAUGCAGCUCAAAAUGGGUGGUGAGUUCCAUCUAAAGCUAAAUAUUGGCGAGAGACCGAUAGCGAACAAGUACCGUGAGGGAAAGAUGAAAAGCACUUUGGAAAGAGAGUUAAACAGUACGUGAAAUUGUUAAAAGGGAAACGAUUGAAGUCAGUCGUGACUGAGAGGCUCAGCCGGUUCUGCCGGUGUAUUCCCCUCAGUCGGGUCAACAUCAGUUUUGUUCGGUGGAUAAGGGCAGUUGGAAGGUGGCACCCUCGGGUGUGUUAUAGCCAGCUGUCGCAUACAUCGGAUGAGACUGAGGAAUGCAGCUCGCCUUUAUGGCCGGGGUUCGCCCACGUUCGAGCUUAGGAUGUUGACAUUA